rnacentral:rRNA from 1 species
UAGGGAAUCUUCCACAAUGGACGCAAGUCUGAUGGAGCAACGCCGCGUGAGUGAAGAAGGCUUUCGGGUCGUAAAACUCUGUUAUUGAAGAAGAACGUGUGUGACAGUAACUGGUCAUGCAGUGACGGUAUUCAAUCAGAAAGUCACGGCUAACUACGUGCCAGCAGCCGCGGUAAUACGUAGGUGGCAAGCGUUGUCCGGAUUUAUUGGGCGUAAAGCGAGUGCAGGCGGUCUUUUAAGUCUGAUGUGAAAGCCUUCGGCUUAACCGAAGAAGGGCAUCGGAAACUGGAGACUUGAGUGCAGAAGAGGAGAGUGGAACUCCAUGUGUAGCGGUGAAAUGCGUAGAUAUAUGGAAGAACACCAGUGGCGAAGGCGGCUCUCUGGUCUGUAACUGACGCUGAGGCUCGAAAGCGUGGGUAGCAAACAGGAUUAGAUACCCUGGUAGU